rnacentral:tRNA from 1 species
CGGGGGAUGGCGCAGUUUUGGUAGCGCACUCGCUUUGGGAGCGAGUGGUCGUAAGUUCGAAUCUUACUACCCCGACCA